rnacentral:rRNA from 1 species
GACGAAUGCUGGCUGCGUGCUUAACACAUGCAAGUCGAACGGUGAAAGGGAGCUUGCUCCCUGGAUCAGUGGCGAACGGGUGAGUAACACGUGGGCAACCUGCCCCUCACUCUGGGAUAACUCCGGGAAACCGGGGCUAAUACCGGAUACGACCUGGUGCGACAUCGCACCGGGUGGAAUGAAUCUCGGUGAGGGAUGGGCCCGCGGCCUAUCAGCUUGUUGGUGGGGUAACGGCCCACCAAGGCGACGACGGGUAGCCGGCCUGAGAGGGCGACCGGCCACACUGGGACUGAGACACGGCCCAGACUCCUACGGGAGGCAGCAGUGGGGAAUAUUGCGCAAUGGGCGAAAGCCUGACGCAGCGACGCAGCGUGAGGGACGAAGGCCUUCGGGUUGUAAACCUCUUUCAGCGGGGACGAAGCGAAAGUGACGGUACCCGCAGAAGAAGCACCGGCUAACUACGUGCCAGCAGCCGCGGUAAAAC